rnacentral:lncRNA from 1 species
UUUUUCCUGCAAUUUUUUAGUUCAAUAUUUUCCUCACUUCCUUCAUUCUAACUUUUGCAUGUUAACUUCUUGGUGUUAUUUUAGAUAUGCAUGCUCCCUAUCUAACUUAUUUGGUAAAAAUGAAUACUUUCUCUGCUUAUUAUCUAUUUUUUUAUUUUUGUACUAACCAUUUAACGAUUUGUGCUAUUGCAGCAGAAAAACAUUGGUAAAAUGG